GGACAUGACGUGUGGCUGUCGUAAAAACCCUAUUUGUAAACAACCAGUCCUUUUAACUCGGGGCUGCGUCAUAAACACGGAGCGCUUGGAAGACCACGAUGUCAUCUUCCUUCUGUCAGGAGGAUCAAAGUGAAGCUACAGGAGUUUCAUUAACGUCAACAACUUGGACCGAACAGUUUGUUUUGCUUGAUGAAGAGCAGGAAGGGCAGCCUGGAGAGAAAGAGAAGCCGGGUUGAGCCCACUACCAUCAUCCAUGUACCACAAGAAAGAUGAGGGAGAGAAAUGAUCCUACCAUUAAAGAGACUGUGAAAAGAACGUUGAGAACAUCACCACUCUACAGGAAGACACAGUCCAGUAAUGGGUGUCAGAAGUUCAGUAGUGAACGACAGAAACAAACAAUCCAAAUUACCUGCAGAAAGCCCUUGAUGGACGCUUCAGCUGCAUCGUCAGACUGGCAGUACUGAUGCAUUUACUGAGAGGGGACGUGAGGGCCUACUCUGCGUGCUCAGAGUUCAAGCCCAGCAGGCUGCAGCGGGCCUGACAUAUUCUGGAACAGCAGCACAGUCUUUGGAUGACUCCUCUGAAGAUGAAAACAUGGCGAGUUCUUCUCAAGAGAAGCAGUACAGGUGUGCCUCAGCUCCACGGUCCCUCCUCUAGCCUCCGCUCCUGAUGCUAACCUCAUGUCUCCAUCACACCAAGCAGCAGACCUGGAUUGACAGACCUUUCUCCAGAGCUGCCCCCUCCCUCUGAAACCCCC